CAUGGGCCUACACAUGCAGUCGAGCGCUUUGUCGUCUUCGGGCGGCGAGGAGCGGCGCACGGGUGAGGAUCGCGUGGGGAUCUGCCCUGGGGAGGGGAAUAACCGUUGGAAACGACGGCUAAUGCCCCAUGAUACCGGCAACGGGAAAGCUUUUGCGCCCUGGGAUGAACCCGCGUGGGAUUAGCUUGAUGGUGGGGUAAGAGCCCACCAUGGCGACGAUCCCUAGCUGGUCUGAGAGGAUGACCAGCCACACUGGGACUGAGACACGGCCAGACUCCUACGGGAGGCAGCAGUGGGGAAUAUUGGACAAUGGGGGCAACCCUGAUCCAGCCAUGCCGCGUGAGUGAAGAAGGCCUUCGGGUUGUAAAGCUCUUUCGGAUGUGACGAUGAUGACGGUAGCAUCCAAAGAAGCCCCGGCUAAUUUCGUGCCAGCAGCCGCGGUAACACGAAAGGGGCAAGCGUUGUUCGGAAUCACUGGGCGUAAAGGGCACGCAGGCGGCCCGGCCAGUCAGGGGUGAAAGCCCGGGGCUCAACCUCGGAACGGCCUUUGAUACUGUCGGGCUUGAGACCGGAAGAGGGUGGUGGAAUUCCCAAUGUAGAGGUGAAAUUCGUAGAUAUUGGGAGGAACACCGGCGGCGAAGGCGGCCACCUGGUCCGGAUCUGACGCUCAGGUGCGAAAGCGUGGGGAGCGAACAGGAUUAGAUACCCUGGUAGUCCACGCCGUAAACGAUGAGUGCUAGCUGUCGGGGGCUUGUCCCUCGGUGGCGGAGCUAACGCAUUAAGCACUCCGCCUGGGGAGUACGGCCGCAAGGUUA
rnacentral:rRNA from 1 species